CGCUGUCCGCCGACUGGGUGCUGGAGACCGAGGACACGCUGGAGCUCCGCACGAAGCCAAACGCCGCCAGCUUGGCUGCUGGGAGACUUUCUCGGGAUCCUAUGUGUGGAAAUCUUUAGAGAACCAACAGAUGCCAUGGUGGACCACUGGUGUCUCUUCCUCUACCGGGAGCUCUCCCUAAGAGUGAUAUCCCCAGAACAAUGAAAGUAUCCCCAUGUAUCAGAUGCCAUCUUCACACUAAGUUUAUGCCAACUCAAUUUUGAACAGUGCCUGUAAAACAGUAAAAGAGUUGCUAAAAAAUCAGAUGCAAUUUCAACAGAAGAAAAAUGACAUGGCCUUCUCAAUAGAUGCAGAAAAAUCUCUUGACCAAUAACAAGAUCAUCUCAUGAUAAAACACCUAACAAACCAGAAACAAUAGAAAGAUGUCCUCAACCUGAUGAGUGGAUGAAAACAAAAUGCAUAGCUAACACCAUACUCAUGGAAAAAGACUAAAUGUUUCUCCCAUAGAUCAAGAACUAGGCCAAGAUGUCUGCUUUCACCACUUCUACUCAAUAUUUUACGGAAGGUUCUAGCCAGGGCAAUUGGGCAAGAAAAUUAAAAGCCACGCAGGUUGGGAACAAGAAGCAAAUCUUUCUCGUUUUGUAGAUCACACAAUCUUGUAUGUAGAAAAUCCUGUGAAAUUUCUGAAAACGAUUAGAAUAAACGAGUUCAAUGUAUAAAAGUCAACUGUAUUUCUUAUAUACUUGCAAUAAAUAAUCCAAAAGUGAAAUUAAUAAAGUUUCAUUUACAACAUCAACAAGAUAAAAUAUUUAGGACUGUCAGAUUCCCCUUUUUUAUGUUUAACUGCGAAGAGUUAUCAGGUUU